rnacentral:rRNA from 1 species
GAUGAACGCUGGCGGCGUGCCUAAUACAUGCAAGUCGAGCGAACAGACGAGGAGCUUGCUCCUCUGACGUUAGCGGCGGACGGGUGAGUAACACGUGGAUAACCUACCUAUAAGACUGGGAUAACUUCGGGAAACCGGAGCUAAUACCGGAUAAUAUAUUGAACCGCAUGGUUCAAUAGUGAAAGACGGUUUUGCUGUCACUUAUAGAUGGAUCCGCGCCGCAUUAGCUAGUUGGUAAGGUAACGGCUUACCAAGGCGACGAUGCGUAGCCGACCUGAGAGGGUGAUCGGCCACACUGGAACUGAGACACGGUCCAGACUCCUACGGGAGGCAGCAGUAGGGAAUCUUCCGCAAUGGGCGAAAGCUUGACGGAGCAACGCCGCGUGAGUGAUGAAGGUCUUCGGAUCGUCAAACUCUGUUAUUAGGGAAGAACAAAUGUGUAAGUAACUAUGCACGUCUUGACGGUACCUAAUCAGAAAGCCACGGCUAACUACGUG